rnacentral:rRNA from 1 species
GAUGAACGCUGGCGGCGUGCCUAAUACAUGCAAGUCGAGCGAAGCGGGGACGGGUGAGUAACACGUGGAUAACCUCCUAUAAGACUGGGAUAACUUCGGGAACCCUGAGCUAUACCGGAUAUUGAUAGAUUGGUCCGGGCUGCAUUAGCAUGUGGGUAAGGUAACGGCUUACCAAGCCGACGAGGCCUAGCCGACCUGAGAGGGUGAGCGGCCACACUGGAACUGAGACACGGUCCAGACUCCUACGGGAGGCAGCAGUAGGGAAUCUUGCGCAAUGGGCGAAAGCCUGACGGAGCAACGCCGCGUGAGUGAUGAAGGUCUUCGGAUCGUAAAACUCUGUUAUUAGGGAAGCGGUACCUAAUCAGAAAGCCACGGCUAACUACGUGCCAGCAGCCGCGGUAAUUC